ACCUACGGGAGGCAGCAGUGAGGAAUAUUGGUCAAUGGUCGGGAGACUGAACCAGCCAAGCCGCGUGAGGGAUGAAGGUACAGAGCAUUGUAAACUUCUUUUGUCAAGGGACAAAAUCAGGCUCGAGAGCCUGACCGAGGGUACUUGAAGAAAAAGCAUCGGCUAACUCCGUGCCAGCAGCCGCGGUAAUACGGAGGAUGCGAGCGUUAUCCGGAUUUAUUGGGUUUAAAGGGCGCGUAGGCGGACUGUUAAGUCAGCGGUAAAAGCCCGGGGCUCAACCCCGGCGAGCCGUUGAAACUGGCUGU
rnacentral:rRNA from 1 species